ACCUCCCGUCAGGCUGCAACCCCUGCUGGAUCUGAAUAGGAAAACAGCAGUGUGGGUGGCCCAGCUGUUGAGGACAUAGGGCCUCAACAUUAGCACUGGUUCCCUCAGCCAGACCACAGAAUAUCCCCCCGCUUCACAUCAAGGCUUUUAGCAGCAGACAUCUACAGAGAUCUCUGCUACUAACCCCCAGCAAACAGGAACAUUAGCUCAUUAAAUAAUUUGGCAUGAAAUAUAGCACUUUCAGCUGUGCAAAACUUGGCAGUUCUGGGGAGAAUGAGCUGGUGAGUUUGGGGAAAGGGAGAGGAAAGUCUGGAGAAGAGGUGUUGGUGGGAGACCUUGGAGGGGUCUGUGGGAAACAGAGAAUUCUGGGAAGAGUGUAUAUAGCAAGAAGUCUGGAAGGGAAAGCGGAGAGGCUGGAGUGUGAUGUAGGAGGUUGACACUGAACAGACUAUCUGAAUGCUGUUCCAGACCAGGAUAUGGAGCCCUUCAAAGACUGCUCUGUAGCAAAAGGAGACUGAGAUAACAAUACCAUCUGAUUUAUUUGUCCAAGCUGAGCUAACACAACAGAUGGUUUGGCUAUUGAAUACUGCUUGUGAACAAUCUACAGACCAAGAAGUAUUUGAAGAAAAUGUUCUCAGGAUCACAGGAAAAAGAAGUACUGAAAAAUAGCCAGUGACCAUCUACUUCUUCCAGAGACAGCACGAUCAGGAAGAGGGCUGAGAGCAGCUUGCUUUGGAGAUAACCUGAUCAGGAACCAUUUUACUGGAUGCAGAGCUCUCUAGCUGCUUCUUCCGAAUUACCUCCCACCACUCCAGCCUCUGAGUCCAUCCAUCUGCAGUCUCUCUCACUGGCUUUCCAGAUGAUGGCUAUCAGCACCUGGAUCCUUAUUUGGUAUUUGAUGGCAGUAAUAGUGGGUAUUCAUUACCCAGGUGAAUCCAAAAUUUGUGGAUUAGCCCUAGCCUUGUUUAAAGUAAUUGUUAGAUUAAACUCUUGUCCAUGAACUGAAGAGACAUUAUUGGUUCUGUUGCAGAUCGCUAAUUCUGGGGGGGAAACAGUCCGACUGCCAAUUCAGAUUUCACUGACUUAAAAAUACAUUAGCUCUGGAAAGCAACGCUGCUUACAUGAAAAAAGGAAAUAGCAGAAAUGUUUAUGUUUCAGUAACAGUUACUUUGCAACCUAGAGGAAUUUACUAAAUGAACAGCAGUUUAGGGUCUUCAAGGCUUAGCAAUGCGAAUAGUAUCUAAUGCAUUUGAAUAAGAAGCAGUUACAAGAGUAAGCUGAGUGGUGCAACAGUCUGUAUAUUUUAUUUUCUGACAGACUUAUAAUUGGAUUGAUGAGUAGCCUGGAGCUCCAGGUACUGUAAGAGAAAUGGGUGGCAAAGAAGAUAGGUAAACGAGCAGCAAGAAAUCUCAACAGAUACGAAAUUCUAAGUUCUCGAUUUAAAAUCACUACUUCAAGGCAAAGGACGAGAAAAGUCUAUUUUGAUCUUAUUAUGGUUUGACAAAACUCUCCAUCACUGAAGUAUAAAAGACAGACUAAUUAUAUGAAAGCAAUGAUUUUUUUUUGGUUUGCUAUAAAACUAAUUAUAAAACAGCUUUUAAUAAAAAAUUCUGUGCCAAAGCCAAUACAUUUUAUAUUGUCCAUUGUAAAAUAAUCCUUGAUGUUGUAGUUUUUAAUUCUUAAUCAAAGUAUUCAUUUAGACUCUAUAAAGGAAAUUAAGGUGUCAUAUGUAACUGAUUUUGUGGACAAUAUUUUCUUUGUAGAUAGCCUGAAGAUAUGAAAUACCUGCAUUAAUAUGGCAUGGGUGUUAACAGAGGGGUGUCUUCACAAUAAUGUGAGCACUUCCGUACUCUUUAAUUAUGAUACUGGGUGUCAGACUGU